rnacentral:rRNA from 1 species
UCGAGAAUUUUUCUCAAUGGGGGCAACCCUGAAGGAGCGACGCCGCGUGGAGGAUGAAGGUCUUCGGAUUGUAAACUCCUGUCAUUGGUGAACAAGAUGCCUUUAUUAACUGUAGGGGUAUUUGAUAGUAGCCGAAGAGGAAGGGACGGCUAACUCUGUGCCAGCAGCCGCGGUAAUACAGAGGUCCCGAGCGUUGUUCGGAUUCAUUGGGCGUAAAGGGUGCGUAGGCGGCUUUCUAAGUUUGAUGUGAAAUCCUGGGGCUCAACCCCGGAACUGCAUUGAAUACUGGGAGGCUAGAGUACUGGAGAGGAAACUGGAAUUUACGGUGUAGCAGUGAAAUGCGUAGAGAUCGUAAGGAAGACCAGUGGCGAAGGCGAGUUUCUGGACAGUUACUGACGCUGAGGCACGAAGGCCAGGGGAGCAAACGG